rnacentral:rRNA from 1 species
UGGCUCGAGGACGAACGCUGGCGGCGUGCCUAACACAUGCAAGUCGAACGGUGAAGUCCCUUCGGGGACGGAUCAGUGGCGGACGGGUGAGUAACGCGUGAGCAAUCUACCUCUUGGUGAAGGGGAUAACAACCGGAAACAGUUGCUAAUACCUCAUGAAACGGCAGCAUCGCAUGGUGCAACCGUCAAAGAUUUAUUGCCAAGAGAUGAGCUUGCGUCUGAUUAGGUAGUUGGUGAGGUAACGGCCCACCAAGCCGACGAUCGGUAGCCGGACUGAGAGGUUGAACGGCCACAUUGGAACUGAGAUACGGUCCAGACUCCUACGGGAGGCAGCAGUGGGGAAUAUUGCACAAUGGGCGAAAGCCUGAUGCAGCGACGCCGCGUGAGCGAAGAAGUAUUUCGGUAUGUAAAGCUCUAUCAGCAGGGAAGAAAAAAUGACGGUACCUGACUAAGAAGCACCGGCUAAAUACGUG